UACGUAGGGACCGAGCGUUGUCCGGAUUCAUUGGGCGUAAAGGGUGUGUAGGUGGCGCCGUAAGUCGGGUGUGAAAUUUCGGAGCUUAACUCCGAAACUGCAUUCGAUACUGGCGGUGCUUGAGGACUGGAGAGGAGACUGGAAUUCAUGGUGUAGCAGUGAAAUGCGUAGAGAUCAUGAGGAAGACCAGUGGCGAAGGCGGGUCUCUGGACAGUUCCUGACACUGAGACACGAAGGCCAGGGGAGCAAACGGG
rnacentral:rRNA from 1 species